UUAAGUUCAGCGGGUAAUCCUACCUGAUUUGAGAUCAAACGUUCAAAAAGCUGUCCUCGCCGAGGAGGGACAUUUGUGAGCUCCAGUGAACCUCCAUUGCUGAAGGUUACAUCGUGGUGGAAAACCACAAGCGUAGAUAUUUAUCACACCUGUGAUGCCACCAAACACUGGCAAGCUGAUCCAUUUGAGAGGAGCCAACC
rnacentral:misc_RNA from 1 species